CGUGGGUAACCUGCCCAAGAGACUGGGAUAACACCUGGAAACAGAUGCUAAUACCGGAUAACAACACUAGACGCAUGUCUAGAGUUUAAAAGAUGGUUCUGCUAUCACUCUUGGAUGGACCUGCGGUGCAUUAGCUAGUUGGUAAGGUAACGGCUUACCAAGGCAAUGAUGCAUAGCCGAGUUGAGAGACUGAUCGGCCACAUUGGGACUGAGACACGGCCCAAACUCCUACGGGAGGCAGCACU
rnacentral:rRNA from 1 species